rnacentral:rRNA from 1 species
CACGUAGGAGGCGAGCGUUGUCCGGAAUCAUUGGGCGUAAAGAGCGCGCAGGCGGCUUGGCAAGUCGGGUGUGAAAUCCCGGGGCUCAACCCCGGGACUGCAUUCGAUACUGUCAGGCUAGAGGUAGGUAGGGGAGAUCGGAAUUCCUGGUGUAGCGGUGAAAUGCGUAGAGAUGCGGAGGAACACCGAUGGCGAAGGCAGCCCCCUGGGCUAACACUGACGCUCAGGCACGAAAGCGUGGGGAGCAAACAGG